CUAGGUGUCUAUGACGCAGUGGCACCACUCCGAUUCCAUCCCGAACUCGGUUGUUAAACGCUGUGGUGGCGAAGAUAUUUGGCGGGUCACUGCCUGAGAAAAUAGCUCGAUGCCUGGU
rnacentral:rRNA from 1 species